AUAUUUAGUCUUCUUCCCAGCCUGGAAACAAGACAUCUUUGGAGAAGAACUGGAACGUCAACUACGAAUUAUUCACACAACUGUCAAACCUUUUAAUAAUCACUCGUUUUUUUUAUGGUUUUUUUCUCACUGGUACAUCGACUUUUCUGACAAUAUAUAAUGACUUUCCAAAACGUUAUCCGGAUUGUCAGGACAUCGGGAAUUGUACGGAGAGCUUUUCUGCACCAGUUAUUCAUUGUGGCUCGAAAAGUUAACUUUUUGCCAACAAAAUUGAUCCUUGGUGCACCUUUGAUUGCACAGUUUACCAAAUUGGAUCCACUGCCACCGUCUGAUGUCACCAAAGCAAUGUUAGCAGAAGCUGAUGCACUUUUUGAACAGGGGAAAUAUCUGAAUCUCUAUGAAAAGUUCAAAAAUUAUAAAGAUGGAAGUAGUGCAGAAAUGUUGUGGCGACUUUCUCGAGCACUUUAUCACAUGUCAAAAAGUGCAAACCCAGACGAAGCGAAAGCAAUGAUUUACGAAGCUUAUGAUCUUGUGUCCAAAGCCUUGUCGCUCGAAGAUGACAUAUCACAAGUUCAUAAAUGGUACACCGUUCUGUUGGAUAGUAAAUCUGAAUACGAGGGUAAAAAAGCACGUAUUCAACAAUUACAAACUGUGAAGAAUCAUAUGCUGAGAGCGCUUGAGUUGAAUCCAAAAGACGCAACGAUUUUGUAUAUGUUGGGGAAUUGGUGCUAUUGUGUAGCCGAUCUCGCCUGGUAUCAGAGGAAGAUUGCAGCAGUCAUUUUUGCAGCUCCUCCAACUUCGUCUUUCCAAGAGGCUUUAGAAUUUCUGCUCAAAGCAGAAGAAAUCGAUCCGAAUUUUUACAGCCAGAAUUUACUCCUGCUUGGAAAAACUUAUCUCAAAUUGAAUAACAAAGAAGAAGGAGUGAAAUACUUGAAAAUGGCAUCGGAAUAUCCUGCGAGAAACAACGAUGAUCAGGACGCUAAACAAGAAGCAACGAAACUACUCAGUGGCUUAUGAAAAGAUGUUAAAUGAGCUGUUGGUUUUGUGAAUUCUUCUGAUUUUCAAUCGUGGUCUCUGGCAGAGGCCUUGCUCCAUCGACGUCCGAUUCUCGAGCCGUGUUAUCGUUUUUUUUCUUCACAUGACCAUGGGCUUCUAGUGUCGAGGAAACUUCUGACAGUUCUACAACAAUACGACGAAAGGAAUUAUUCAUCAAGGUUUCCAGCCUUCUCCCAGCUCGACUUGAAUCGUCAGAUCGAAAUCGGUGAAUGAAUUGGUGAUAUUUUCAGUGGAAUUGAUGCUCCUCGGCUUCCCAAAUAUUUCUCCAACAGUGAUCAACCAUUGAAACUUGUGUACAAUUUCUACACUGUGAUUGUUAUUGUCAGGUUCUGAACCUGACAAAAAUUAGCACUAGAGUGAUUAAUUUUUGGUGAUCAGAGCUGAUUUAUAACAAACGUAAAUGCGGAAGAACGUCCAGCGAGGGUUGAAUAGUGGGGCUCUAACCCUUUCGGUCGGCCAAUGGCGAAGCGCCAUUCAUCGUAACACCACGACACGUCUAUGAUUGGUUCCUCGACACUGAUUUUCAUUUCCUACCAAGUUUCGUCAGGAUCGAGCGUUCUAGGAAAAACUAUUUUCUUUCAAAGCCGAAUACAACGAGCCCUUUCUUCUGUGGCUAUUCCGAAUAAUAACAGUGCCGAUCAUAGGGAUUAGCUUCGUUCUAUACUCGAUCCGACACCUGAAUACUACGCUAGAUUUACAUAAGGGAUCGAGGAUUAUAAUUGAAGUCUUCUUAGAAUACGCAAAAAUGGUUCCUUUUCUUCUAGCAGUCUGUCGACGAUUCGAUUUUGUCUUCGAUUUCGCCUGGGACGAUUUCUGCGAAGUUCUUCACCGUUGUAUUCGGGAUAAACGAGCCAAUCACGGAUCACAGGGCCCAGUAAAUUGGGUUGUCUCGGAGGAUUGUUUGCAUUUUCGACACGUUCCUGAGGAUAUUCCACGUUCAGAAAAUUUUCCUCGUUCAGAAGGUUAUUUUCACGGUGAAUCCCAUAUGGCCCACGGUACUGAUAAUUCUCUGCCAAAUAAUUGGCCAACGCGUCGUUCGCUUCGUGAUUUAUUGGCUCCCGUUGAAGAGCGUGUAAUCCCCGAUCUACGUAACUUUCCACCGUUACAGUUUCGACUCUCACUUCGUGGCCACACGGGCAAGGAUGAUAAAUCAUGAAAAAUGGAUCGGUUGGCAAAUACUCCGGAUAUUUCCAUUGUACGUAUUGCUGGUCUGGAUCCGCCAUCAAACAGGAAGGGUCCAUUUCGCUUGAAUCGCUUUUUUCUAUUUCUUCUUAAGUGCUAUUGAAGGAACGUACAAAAUUAUUAGUUUUUGUCUUUUCAUUUUAAAACCAGAUCAUAAUUCACAAAAUUUUAUUAUGUUUUCUAAAAAAACCGAAGAAAUAUCCGGGAUUUUCUAAACAUUCGUUUUCAAUCACCAUAUCAAAAGCUUUGGACAAUUUCUAACUGAUAUUUAUGUCGUUUUUGAAAAUUUAAGAAUAGCACAAAAAUUUAUUCAAGCAAAGAAUAAAACGCAGUACGAUCCAACGAGUUUUAAUUCACACUUUUCUUUCCAUUGAGUACACCGAGAAAAAAAUGUUCAUCGAUCGAAAUUUCACUGGGACGAAAAAAUAGUAGAUUCGACUAUAUGUGUUAUUGAAAUGGCAAAUAAUUCAGUUCGUUCGACAACGUAAAACAGUUGCAUCCACAAUAUUUUCGUCCAAUUGAAAAAUAUUAUUUCGAAGCUUCCAUAUGUACAGUCUGAUAGUAAACUAACCUUGUAGAACUG